GGAAACGUAUCGAAGUGGUCAUAACGAGCCUGACUCGAAAUCAGGUUGCCCCAACGGGCACGCGGGUUCGAAUCCCGCCGUUUCCG
rnacentral:tRNA from 2 species